AAGGCCUUCGGGUCGUAAAGCUCUUUUAUUUGGGAAGAAUGCAUAGUAAUAUGUUUGACGGUACCAUUUGAAUAAGCCCCAGCUAACUACGUGCCAGCAGCUGCGGUAAUACGUAGGGGGCAAGCGUUAUCCGGAAUCACUGGGCGUAAAGGGUCCGCAGGUGUCCCGUUAAGUUAGAUGUUAAAUCGCAAGGCUCAACCUUGCCGGCUGCAUCUAAUACUGACAGGAUAGAGGAUAGGUGACGGAAGUGGAAUUCCUGGUGGAGAGGUAAAGUCCGUAGAUAUCAGGAGGAACACCCGUGGCGUAGGCGGCUUCCGAACCUAUUCCUGACACUCAGGGACGAAAGCUAGGGGAGCAAACAGGAUUAGAUACCCUGGUAGUCCUAGCUGUAAACGAUGAAUACUAGAUAGUGGGUGCUACACCGUACUCACCGUCGUAGCUAACGCGUUAAGUAUUUCGCCUGGGAACUACGAUCGCAAGUUUGAAACUCAAAGGAAUUGACGGGUCCCCGCACAAGCAGCGAGGCAUGUGGCUUAAUUCGAUGCAACACGAAGAACCUUACCUGGACUUGACAUGUUUCUGAAAGGCCGGAGAAACCCGGUCCCUUCCAGUUUACUGGAACAGUUUCACAGGUGGUGCAUGGUUGUCGUCAGCUCGUGUCGUGAGAUGUAAGGUUAAGUCCUUAAACGAGCGUAACCUUUGUCAUUAGUUGCCACCGGUUCGGCCGAGCACUCUAAUGAGACCGCUAGCGACAAGCUAGAGGAAGAUGGAGAUGACGUCAAAUCCUCACGUCCCUUAUGUCCAGGGCCGCACACAUGCGACAAUGGUAGAGACAGCGGGUUGCGACGGGGUAACCCUGAGCUAAUCCAUAAACUCUGCCUCAGUACAGAUUCGAGGGCUGAAAUUCGACCUCGUGAAGAUGGAGUUGCUAGUAAAC
rnacentral:rRNA from 1 species